rnacentral:rRNA from 1 species
GAUGAACGCUGGCGGCGUGCCUAAUACAUGCAAGUCGAGCGAACAGACGAGGAGCUUGCUCCUCUGACGUUAGCGGCGGACGGGUGAGUAACACGUGGAUAACCUACCUAUAAGACUGGGAUAACUUCGGGAAACCGGAGCUAAUACCGGAUAAUAUAUUGAACCGCAUGGUUCAAUAGUGAAAGACGGUUUUGCUGUCACUUAUAGAUGGAACCGCGCCGCAUUAGCUAGUUGGUAAGGUAACGGCUUACCAAGGCAACGAUGCGUAGCCGACCUGAGAGGGUGAUCGGCCACACUGGAACUGAGACACGGUCCAGACUCCUACGGGAGGCAGCAGUAGGGAAUCUUCCGCAAUGGGCGAAAGCUUGGCGGAGCAACGCCGCGUGAGUGAUGAAGGUCUUCGGAUCGUAAAACUCUGUUAUUAGGGAAGAACAAAUGUGUAAGUAACUAUGCACGUCUUGACGGUACCUAAUCAGAAAGCCACGGCUAACUACGUG